GGGGGUAUCGUAUAAUGGUAUUACGCCUGCCUUGCAAGCAGGUCAUUGGGGUUCAAUUCCCCAUACCUCCACC
rnacentral:tRNA from 1 species